AUGAUUCCUUCAAUUUAUUUUUCUAGCUUUUCCCUACACGAGAUCAAAAUCCCCCGCUGUCACAGGUGUGUGCUGCUCACUCUGUUCAGUGUGACAGUCCAACAAGCCAAGCUGAACUCUGCUGUCAUGGAAUCUGAUUGCAAAUCUCCCUUGAACAUGGAUCUGAGAGUGUGCCAUAAAAAAAGAAAGCAACCUUUUUACAUAAUAAAAUCAUAAUAAAGUGCAUUUAUGCUUUUUUUGCAGUCAUGCCUGGGUUUGGAAUGAAUAUGACCACAUCAAUGAAAGUAUUCUAAGCAGUUUUUGACUACUAGAAACCAAAAGAUGGACUAUCUAUUAAUCUGAAUACCACAGAACAAAAUGGUAGUUAAUGUUGCAGGUAUGAAUUCCAGUCUCACUUCUGAGAAGGAAACAAAGUGUGUAUUAUUAGGGGGUCGUAUGCUGUGUUGUUGCCUGUCCCUCCUUUCCCCCUCACCAUAGACACACAGAUUUUUGCAAUACUAGUCCUUCACAGAUUUUUGACUGUUGCUUUGAUUUUUGGUACAUAGCCAGCUCAAGUUAAAAUGAGGACAGAAAGAAGGGAAGGAUGUCUGUGAUAUCUCAAGGAUUUUUGAAAUCAAAGUAGAUAGCCAGAUUCAGACUAGUUCAAAGAGCUGGAAAGGACUGUCGCUGAUUCUGCAGCCCGAACUGCUGAAUGUCAGGCAGUCCUUUAUCAACCAUCUGGCCUAUCCAGGACUUUCCUCC
rnacentral:lncRNA from 1 species